GGCCAGACUCCUACGGGAGGCAGCAGUGGGGAAUAUUGGGCAAUGGGCGAAAGCCUGACCCAGCAACGCCGCGUGAAGGAAGAAGGCUUUCGGGUUGUAAACUUCUUUUGACAGGGAAGAGCAGAAGACGGUACCUGUCGAAUAAGCCACGGCUAACUACGUGCCAGCAGCCGCGGUAAUACGUAGGGGGCAAGCGUUAUCCGGAUUUACUGGGUGUAAAGGGAGCGUAGACGGCAGUGCAAGUCCGGAGUGAAAGCCCGGGGCUCAACCCUGGGACUGCUCUGGAAACUGUAAAGCUGGAGUGCGGGAGGGGCAGGCGGAAUUCCUGGUGUAGCGGUGAAAUGCGUAGAUAUUAGGAGGAACACCAGUGGCGAAGGCGGCUUACUGGACUGUAACUGACGUUGAGGCUCGAAAGCGUGGGGAGCAAACAGGAUUAGAUACCCCGGUA
rnacentral:rRNA from 1 species